rnacentral:rRNA from 1 species
AUUGAACGCUGGCGGCAGGCUUAACACAUGCAAGUCGAGCGGUAACAGAGAUAGCUUGCUAUCUGCUGACGAGCGGCGGACGGGUGAGUAAUGCUUGGGAAUAUGCCUUUAGGUGGGGGACAACAGUUGGAAACGACUGCUAAUACCGCAUAAUGUCUACGGACCAAAGGAGGGGAUCUUCGGACCUUUCGCCUUUAGAUUAGCCCAAGUGAGAUUAGCUAGAUGGUGAGGUAAUGGCUCACCAUGGCGACGAUCUCUAGCUGGUUUGAGAGGAUGAUCAGCCACACUGGGACUGAGACACGGCCCAG